UACAGAGGUCCCAAGCGUUGUUCGGAUUUAUUGGGCGUAAAGGGUGCGUAGGCGGCGGAGUAAGUUGGGUGUGAAAUCCCGGGGCUCAACCUCGGAAUUGCAUUCAAUACUGCUUCGCUCGAGUACUGGAGAGGAGACUGGAAUUUACGGUGUAGCAGUGAAAUGCGUAGAUAUCGUAAGGAAGGCCGGUGGCGAAAGCGAGUCUCUGGACAGUUACUGACGCUGAUGCACGAAGGCCAGGGGAGCAAACGGG
rnacentral:rRNA from 1 species